ACUUCAUUCUCUGCAGCUGAUGGAGGUUAAGGGAUGAUAUAAUGGUCAAUGCAGAAUGAGCAGAUAUUGCCCAGCAGGAUGGUGGAAGGGAAAUUCAGGGUAUGUGCAGGUGUGCUGUUCUAGGAAGAAGAAGCAGUAAAUAACUCAUGACAAGAUAAAGCCAAAGAUAAAAUUUCAGGGGCCUGCCCAAACCUGGCAACUCCUUCUGGGUUUGUCAAGCCAUGGAGGGUUGGCAUCAAGAAUCACCUACCCAGCUGGAUAAAAGAAGACCCAUAUGACUUUCUCAGGACAAUACAUGAGGUCUUGCCUUCCCUGUGUUGGUCCAAGUACAAAGAAAAUUUGGAUUGUGGGACACAGCAUCGUCUUCUGGGCAGGGCAUCAUGCCAAAACUUCCCACUGGGAGCAGCAUCUCAGCCAUUCCAUCCAUAUCUCUUGGAUAGGUAUUCAGGGCAUGUUGUGGGAUGAGUUCCUGCCUCAUGUCUUGGAUCAGGCAGCCAGCACUGGACCAUUAGAUGUGCUAGUGAUACAACUUGAUGAAAAUGAUCUUGGUUAAGAAAAGGCAUCAACAUCAGCUUUGCAGUCACCAACCACCUGGGCCACCUACUCUCCCGCUACCCUCAUACAACAAUAUUUUGGUCAAAUCUAUUGGAGCACAUCACCUGGAAAUGGGUGGAUGACCCAGCACGUCUUGACGGUGCUUGGAGGAAAGUGAACAAGGUGGUGGGCUGCUUUGUGUGUGCCAAUGGGGGUGAGGUAAUCCAACACCCAGACAUUUCACACAAAUGGCUGGGCUAUACUGGCAUGAUGGAGUCCAUCUAUCUGAGACAGGAAAUGAUCUUUGGCUGGGAGAUCUCCAGGAGGUCCUUGCUAAUUGGUUGGAGUCACAUUAGGGGUUGGUGGGGAGCCGCGAGGUGGGCCUCACAGCUUUUGUAGCGGGAGUAGUCAUUGGGCAGGAUCCAUUUUAUGGGUAACAGGGGUUAGCCCCCAGGUUCGCAUUUAGGGCCCCCCUUAGGGGACGUGGGCCAAAAUAACCAAAGCCCCAGCUUGGGGGCCCAGAAGGGAGACAGCACCCCCGGUUGGCUUUGUUCUCCAUAACAUCCAUCCAUACCAAGGAGAUCUCAAGCCCUCCCUUCACCUUUUCCCAAAGGGGAGGGGAUACCAACCUCCUAGGUUUCCUCCCCAGCACCUGGGCUGGGGGGCGGGGGUUCACUUCGCAUAGCAAUCAGGCUGUGCGAUGUGCUGAUCCUGCAUCCAUGCCACACCAACCCCUUUUCAUGUCACUGUAAUCAAUAAAGAAGUUGUGGCCUUGUCUUGCCCCACA